rnacentral:rRNA from 1 species
GACGAACGCUGGCGGCGUGCUUAACACAUGCAAGUCGAACGGAAAGGCCUUUUCGGAGGUACUCGAGUGGCGAACGGGUGAGUAACACGUGGGUGAUCUGCCCUGCACUCUGGGAUAAGCCUGGGAAACUGGGUCUAAUACCGGAUAGGACCGCACUUUAGUGUGUGUGGUGGAAAGUUUUUUCGGUGUAGGAUGAGCCCGCGGCCUAUCAGCUUGUUGGUGGGGUAAUGGCCUACCAAGGCGGCGACGGGUAGCCGGACUGGGGGGUUGGUCGGCCACAUUGGGACUGAGGUACGGCCCAGACUCCUACGGGAGGCAGCAGUGGGGAAUAUUGCACAAUGGGCGCAAGCCUGAUGCAGCGACGCCGCGUGGGGGAUGACGGCCUUCGGGUUGUAAACUCCUUUCGCCAGGGACGAAGCGUUUUGUGACGGUACCUGGAGAAGAAGCACCGGCUAACUACGUG